GCUCAACCGGGGAGGGUCAUUGGAAACUGGGGAACUUGAGUGCAGAAGAGGAGAGUGGAAUUCCACGUGUAGCGGUGAAAUGCGUAGAGACGUGGAGGAACACCAGUGGCGAAGGCGACUCUCUGGUCUGUAACUGACGCUGAGGCGCGAAAGCGUGGGGAGCGAACAGGAUUAGAUACCCUGGUAGUCCACGCCGUAAACGAUGAGUGCUAAGUGUUAGAGGGUUUCCGCCCUUUAGUGCUGCAGCAAACGCAUUAAGCACUCCGCCUGGGGAGUACGGUCGCAAGACUGAAACUCAAAGGAAUUGACGGGGGCCCGCACAAGCGGUGGAGCAUGUGGUUUAAUUCGAAGCAACGCGAAGAACCUUACCAGGUCUUGACAUCCUCUGACAACCCUAGAGAUAGGGCUUCCCCUUCGGGGGCAGAGUGACAGGUGGUGCAUGGUUGUCGUCAGCUCGUGUCGUGAGAUGUUGGGUUAAGUCCCGCAACGAGCGCAACCCUUGAUCUUAGUUGCCAGCAUUCAGUUGGGCACUCUAAGGUGACUGCCGGUGACAAACCGGAGGAAGGUGGGGAGGACGUCAAAUCAUCAUGCCCCUUAUGACCUGCGCUACACACGUGCUACAAUGGACAGAACAAAG
rnacentral:rRNA from 1 species